UCCCUGGGAGUCUAGUGGUUAGGACUCGGCGCUGUCAUCAUUGCAACCCCGGGUUCAAUCCCUGGCCUGGGAA
rnacentral:tRNA from 1 species